GGCGAAUGAAGAGGGAAAAAGCCCAAAUUUGUAAUCUGGCUCUUUCAGAGUCCGAGUUGUAAUUUUAAGAACUGUUUUCAGUGCUGGACCAUGUACAAGUCUUCUGAAAAGAAGCAUCAUAGAAGGUGAUAAUCCUGUUCAUGAUAUGGACUACCAGUGCAAUAUGAUACAGUCUCUAAGAGUCGAGUUGUUUGGGAAUGCAGCUCAAAGUGGGUGGUAAAUUCCAUCUAAGGCUAAAUAUUGAUGAGAGACCGAUAGCAAACAAGUACCGUGAGGGAAAGAUGAAAAGAACUUUGGAAAGAGAGUUAACAGUACGUGAAAUUGUUAAAAGGGAAACAAUUGAAGUUAGACUUGUUAUUAAUAGUUCAACCUUUUUUUUUAAAAAGGAGUAUUCUAUUGAUUAACAGACCAACAUCAAUUUUUGGGUGUUGGAUAAGGGUUUAAGGAAAUGUAGCAGUUUUUGACUGUGUUAUAUUCCUUUUGAGCUUUGAUACAAUGCUUAAGAUUGAGGAAUG
rnacentral:rRNA from 1 species